UACGUAGGGGGCAAGCGUUGUCCGGAUUUAUUGGGCGUAAAGAGCGUGUAGGCGGCCGUACAGGUCAGCUGUGAAAACUCGAGGCUCAACCUCGAGACGUCGGUUGAAACCGUACGGCUAGAGUCCGGAAGAGGAGAGUGGAAUUCCCGGUGUAGCGGUGAAAUGCGCAGAUAUCGGGAAGAACACCCGUGGCAAAGGCGGCUCUCUGGGACGGUACUGACGCUGAGACGCGAAAGCGUGGGGAGCGAACAGG
rnacentral:rRNA from 1 species